UUUCUUUGAAGGGAGUGACAUAAAGUUGAAUUAUUGAAAUAAUAUGUUCUAUUCUCCCAAUGUGGUUUUCCCAGGAUGAAGGGGAAGAAAUAUACGCCUUCUUUUUCACGCUAGCGCAAGCGCAACUGUGAACUUUCAAACGAUUCGCCCUCAUUGUCGUCAGUAGGGUCGAGUAUCACGCUACGAAUGCUUUGCUGCAUGAGUGCUCUUCAUAAGUGAAGAUAUGUCGAAAUACAAAAGCUAUAAAAACUACAAAAACAUAUCUUUAUCUAUUAAAAGGCGUACUAGGGUGUCUAUUAAAAGUAUUUUCAUCCUAAGUGUAUACAUUAAUACCGGAUUCAAAUUGGAUUUAAUGUUAUCGUGAAUUAUAAGUUCUCAAUUCGUCAUAUCCUUUUUUGUGCAAGUUGUGAAAACUAUCAUACUCAAGAACCAUUGCACUCCGAUACAGCGUACAUGCUCCUUCAAUCAUAUUGUGUACAUCUAAUCGACUACUUUAAGUGAUUUAUCUAUUUUACAUGAUCAAAUUGUGGAGUGAAAAUUACCGUGAAAUAAAAUAUAGACAUAUUCGUCAACAGGAAA